AUUGAACGCUGGCGGCAGGCCUAACACAUGCAAGUCGAGCGGAUGAAGGGAGCUUGCUCCUGGAUUCAGCGGCGGACGGGUGAGUAAUGCCUAGGAAUCUGCCUGGUAGUGGGGGAUAACGUCCGGAAACGGGCGCUAAUACCGCAUACGUCCUGAGGGAGAAAGUGGGGGAUCUUCGGACCUCACGCUACCAGAUGAGCCUAGGUCGGAUUAGCUAGUUGGUGGGGUAAAGGCCUACCAAGGCGACGAUCCGUAACUGGUCUGAGAGGAUGAUCAGUCACACUGGAACUGAGACACGGUCCAGACUCCUACGGGAGGCAGCAGUGGGGAAUAUUGGACAAUGGGCGAAAGCCUGAUCCAGCCAUGCCGCGUGUGUGAAGAAGGUCUUCGGAUUGUAAAGCACUUUAAGUUGGGAGGAAGGGUAGUAAGUUAAUACCUUGCUGUUUUGACGUUACCAACAGAAUAAGCACCGGCUAACUUCGUG
rnacentral:rRNA from 1 species